GUUAAAUCGUAGGUACAGUACUGCUCAGAAAUAACCUAACACUGCGUUUGCGUUCCGAACGCGUUCCAAACGCGUUCCGAACGCGAACGCGUUGGAACGCGGUCAGAACGCGGUUGGAACGCGAUCGGAACGCGGUUGGAACGCAUUCCAGAGGAAACUUGGAAACGCGUUCCCCACUUUGGCUAAAAACCGCGUUCUCGCAUCGGAAAAUCCCGACACCGAGUAAAACAUGAGCUACUGUAGGUUUUGACAGUUGACAAUUAUGAACAAUUAAUAUCAAGCUUCAUCCCGGACUGAAAUACCAGCCCGGUUUGACCCAGACUGAAACUCGACACAGUCCGGGCAGCAUGUA
rnacentral:lncRNA from 1 species